CCCUUAGAUGUUCUGGGCCGCACGCGCGCUACACUGAUGCAUUCAACGAGCCUAGCCUUGACCGAGAGGUCCGGGUAAUCUUUGAAACUGCAUCGUGAUGGGGCUAGAUUAUUGCAAUUAUUAAUCUUCAACGAGGAAUGCCUAGUAAGCGUGAUUCAUCAAAUCGCGUUGAUUACGUCCCUGCCCUUUUUACACACCGCCCGUCGCUCCUACCGAUUGAGUGUGUUGGUGAGGAGUUUGGAUUGGCCUCGGAAGGUGGUUCGCCACCGUCCGUAGCUGAGAAGUUCUCCAAACCGCCCCACUUAGAGGAAGGAGAAGUCGUAACA
rnacentral:rRNA from 1 species